AGCGGACGCUGGCGGCAGGCCUAACACAUGCAAGUCGAACGAAGUCUUCGGACUUAGUGGCGGACGGGUGAGUAACACGUGGGAACGUGCCUUUAGGUUCGGAAUAACUCAGGGAAACUUGUGCUAAUACCGAAUGUGCCCUUCGGGGGAAAGAUUUAUCGCCCUUAGAGCGGCCCGCGUCUGAUUAGCUAGUUGGUGGGGUAAUGGCCCACCAAGGCUACGAUCAGUAGCUGGUCUGAGAGGAUGACCAGCCACAUUGGGACUGAGACACGGCCCAAACUCCAACGGGAGGCAGCAGUGGGGAAUCUUGUGCGAUGGGCGAAAGCCUGACGCAGCCAUGCCGCGUGGAUGAUGAAGGUCUUAGGAUUGUAAAUCCUUUCACCGGUGAAGAUAAUGACUGUAGCCGGAGAAGAAGCCCCGGCUAACUUCGUGCCAGCCGCCGCCGUAACAC
rnacentral:rRNA from 1 species